rnacentral:rRNA from 1 species
UACAGAGGGUGCAAGCGUUAAUCGGAAUUACUGGGCGUAAAGCGUGCGUAGACGGUUAUUUAAGUCAGGUGUGAAAGCCCAGGGCUCAACCUUGGAAUUGCAUUGAGACUGAAUAGCUAGGGUGCGGAAGAGGGAAGCGGAAUUUCCGGUGUAGCGGUGAAAUGCGUAGAUAUCGGAAGGAACACCAGUGGCGAAAGCGGCUUCCUGGUCCAGCACCGACGUUCAGGCACGAAAGCGUGGGGAGCAAACAGG